AAUGUUUUAAAAUGGUCCUACGGUACAGAUAAGGCUUCUGGCGCUGCCACAGAUAUAUUCAAGCGAAACCGUCCAUUGCACUGAGUGACACAAAUUUGGGGCUCACCAUGUUCACAAUGAAAUUACAAAAGUUCAUGAGUCACGUCAUUAUGAGCGUUUGGUGGAAUUCAGCUAUAUAAUGGCGAAAACAUAUUUAAGAUGACGAGAAAAUGGUGGCUUGCCAUAGCCUGAGUGAAACGAUUGAAUCUGUCAUCAUAGAGAUUGAGUAAGUGAACUAUCCACUACAGAAAUGUGCCAACCUGAGCCGUGAAAAUCACCGGUAGAACGUACACCCAGUGUUUUAUUCACACAUCUAGAAAAAAGAGCCUCUGUACGCAAACACCCAAUUUAGAAAAGGCCCUCAACAUCGACCGACAACAAAAGUGGCACUCAGCUGUUACUGAUCCGUA